UACAGAGGGGGCAAGCGUUGUUCGGAAUUACUGGGCGUAAAGGGCGCGUAGGCGGCGCGGUAAGUCACUUGUGAAAUCUCUGAGCUUAACUCAGAACGGCCAAGUGAUACUGCAGUGCUAGAGCGUGGAAGGGGCAAUCGGAAUUCUUGGUGUAGCGGUGAAAUGCGUAGAUAUCAAGAGGAACACCUGAGGUGAAGACGGGUUGCUGGGCCAACACUGACGCUGAGGCGCGAAAGCCAGGGGAGCAAACGGG
rnacentral:rRNA from 1 species